CUAUCGUACCCUUCGGGCUUCUCCAAUAAUGAGCUCCUUCAGUCAUUUAUCGAACUGCUCUAAAUACUCUCUGGGCUUCACUAUUAGUCGAUUUUCUACAGUUUUUGACUACUCUCCGAAUCUCUUCCAGACUUCCUCCUGUCACGAUCGACUUUACUCCGAGCUUCUUCCGGACUUCGUCAAUGUCCGGACUUCUCCAGCGGCAGGACUUCUACAAUAAGCAGUCUCCAUCCGAGCUUCUACGGCAACUGAUCUCCAUCUGAGCUUCUACAGUAAGCGAAGUCCAUCCGAGCUUCUACAGUAAGUGAAUUCCAUCUGAGCUUCUACAAUAAGCGAUCUCCAUCCGGACUUCCACGACAACCAGUCUCCAUCCGAG
rnacentral:lncRNA from 1 species